CAUAAUACAAUAAGGAUAUAUUUGUUUGAAAAAUGUUGAUGUGGGUUGGAGCGAGUUGUAACUUAUUGCGCAUCUGGAAUAUCUUUUGUUUACCCAUAUUUCAGUGUCGCACGGUUAGCGGGAGAAGGCGAACUGCCGUAAAAUUUUCUAACCACUCUGGUACUGCCUAUUGUGUUGAGUGGUGGUGACAGGUGUUAUUCUUAUGGAUGUAAACACAAGAAUGAAGUCAGUGACAUGUAAGGCCGGCAAGUGAUGGGAUAUUGGUGUUUGGCAAUCUCCUACUGGGGUUCAAGGCCUAUGAUAGUGAGGCCAUUGAAGUUGAAACCUAUAGUUGGCAAUAAAAACUGUUACUACUUAUGGUCCAUCCUUGAACAUCCCAGUACAUUUCAACUUCAUCCGCCAUGGGUGUGCAAGAGGAACUCGUCGCCCUGAAGAGGAAGAGGGCAAUCAACAAAGGGAAGUUCACCAGGAAGUGUCGCACGGUUAGCGGGAGAAGGCGAACUGCCGUAAAAUUUUCUAACCACUCUGGUACUGCCUAUUGUGUUGAGUGGUGGUGGCUGGUGGUGACAGGUGUUAUUCUUAUGGAUGUAAACACAAGAAUGAAGUCAGUGACAUGUAAGGCCGGCAAGUGAUGGGAUAUUGGUGUUUGGCAAUCUCCUACUGGGGUUCAAGGCCUAUGAUAGUGAGGCCAUUGAAGUGAGUGCAAUACAGUGUAUUAUGGAUGUUGUAUGAUAUUUCAAUUGGAAUUGCCCUUAUUGGUAAUUGGAUUCUAUGUAUAUAUACAGUAAUGCUUUAUGAUAUGAGUACAUUUAAUUUGAUGCCAAGUGCUUUAGUGGCUACAGUACC